UACGGGGGGAGCAAGCGUUGUUCGGAUUUACUGGGCGUAAAGGGCGCGUAGGCGGCCUUCUAAGUCGAACGUGAAAUCCCCGGGCUCAACCCGGGAACUGCGUCCGAGACUGAAAGGCUUGAAUCCGGGAGAGGGAUGUGGAAUUCCAGGUGUAGCGGUGAAAUGCGUAGAUAUCUGGAGGAACAUCGGUGGCGAAGGCGGCAUCCUGGACCGGUAUUGACGCUGAGGCGCGAAAGCCAGGGGAGCAAACGGG
rnacentral:rRNA from 1 species